GAGAAAGGGGGGACAACAAAGGAGACAUCUAUGUUACUAGCAUUGGGAGGCACUGGGAGAAAGGCUUCUGGGGAUAUUUGCGGAAUUUUGUGUGAUGUGGCCACUUCAAGAUAAAAGUAUCUGAGGAUCAGAGAGGCUGAGUGGCUUACCCACAGUCACACAGCAAGGAACCAGCACAGCCAGAGAUGGAACCUGGUCUCAUGCCAAAGCCUUUAUUCAUUCCACUGCAAUGAGGGCCUCGAGGAUGGAGAAAACUGGCUCAUAAGACUGCCUUUUUCUAUCUUGUCACCCACCGCUCAGCAUUUGUUUCUCUCUGUCCUUCCCUUCCCUCAUUUGCAUGUCAUUUCCUCCGGGAAGCUUUAUGGUGUGGACACUUUCACCUGCCCCAAGGACUUCUCCACCCACACCUUAGUGAUGUCACAGGGCCUUGGGCAAGUUCUGGAAAACACUUCCUGCUGAGGGCUGGGUGGACCUUUGGGAUCCAAGCUGUCUGAGGUCACAGCCCGUUUCCUUCCCCCGGGGGAUGCUAAUAGGAACCUGCAUUCAGGAUUUCAAGUUCCAGGAGGCCUGGGAUCAGGGGAGAAUUGCAGUCUUCUCCAGGUCAGGCUAAAAGGUGCUGGCCAGGAGGAAGCUGAGCUGCAUGAAGCCCCCCCUAGGAUGCCAGGGACCCCUCUCCUCAACAAUGAACUAGCUGGUGUACAAGCACGUGGUCCUGCCCAGGGCGCCCAUGCAGACCUUGUCUGCUUUGAUUGACAAGGUGGCGCCUCUGCAAUGUUGAAAACACUCUUGGCUAAACACUAAAAAAGAAAAAAAUUACCUGGAUCCCUCUUGUUAUUAAAAGUUAUUUUUGCUUUUGCAUAUUUGCUGUCUUUUUUUUUUUUUAUCACAGGUGGGCCUAUUUUUCCUUUGUACACAGUUUCCCUUAUGGUGUACACACCAUUUUCUCUUCUGUUUUGUUCCCCUGACUAUGCUGAUUCAACACCCUGUGAUGAAACCCAAAUAUUUUUCUAGAAGCAAACGCAGGCUGGUUUGCCGCCAUCCACAGAUCAUGAGCUUCCCCCAACACUGCCGAGGUACGACUCGUUCCAGGCUUGAGCAGUUAGUUGUUUGCAAAAGCGAAGUAGCCCUCCUGAGACCCAAGGUGCAAACAACUCAUUGUUGGGAAAGGAGUUCCUCUUUGACAUUCAGAUAUAAUGAAGAAGAAAAAGGGAAUAAAAAUUCCAGCAGAUUAAAACAGCAAACAUACGAAAAGAUGCUCAAGGCCACUAAUCAUUUGGGAAAUGCAAAUCAAAACCACAGUGAGAUGUCACCUCACGUCCAUCAGGACCGCUAUGAUAACACUGUCAAGGAGUGGAGAUAUCACAACCUCUGUGCACUGUUGGUGGGGAGGGAAAAGAAUACAGUCAUAAAUGAAAACAGUAUGGUGGUUCCUCAAAAAGGUCUACGUAGAAUUACCACGUGAUCUACUAAUUCCACUUCUGGGUAUGUAGACAAAAGAAUGGAAAGCGGGGUCUUGAAGGGAUAUUUGCACAGCCGUAUUCAUCGCAGGAUUAUUCACAGUAGUUCAAAGGCGGAAGCGACCCAGUGUCCAUUGGAGGAGGAAGAAACUGAGGCACAGAAUGGUAAACGUAAACAAUCCAAGCUCAUGUAGCUGAUUCGGAACCUGGAGCAUAGAAAGGAUGAGCAAGUUGCCCAAAGACACACACUUUCAAGUGGCAGAGAAUGUAACCGGCAGCUGUUGGCAACUGGUUCCAGCUAUUAAUACUCUGAGAAGUGGCGGAGCUGUGAGGAGUCUUUUUGUCCUGUCCACAUGACAAGGAGCAGUGCCGUUUUGGGAGGCUGGUGAAUGAGGGGGGUCCCUCCUCACUGAAGAUCAUUCGGCUCAAAGUUGGAAGGUCAAUGGUGAGGUUGGAUCUUCAUUCUGCCAGCAACCAGUUCCGUGACCUGGAGCAAAAUGGAGAGAGCACAGCCUGUACAGCCAAGGGGAGGGAGGAGAGACAUGUCAUCACGCACAUACACUGAGCCAGGGGAACAGGAAGGGCACUGCAGGCCGCAGGAACAGUGGUGGAAAGGUACAGCCCAGCAUCCCCGGUCCACACCGACCCCUCCAUGGGCCUCCAUGAGGACCCGGCCUGGUGCCCGAUCCCGGUGCCCAGGUGCUGGGCCGCACAGGAGCAUGAAUGUUCCUUUGGCAUCUAACGCUGAGGCCAUGGCUGCAGGCCUGGGCAGGAGGAGGGGACCUCUGUGAAUGCUGGCUGGAGGGAGUAAAGAAAAAGUGCAUGUUCGGGGCAUGGCCAGGGCCCCUCCUUCCCAAAGCUGGUCCAGAGCAACUCCACCCAGAACCAAGCAGACAUGCAGCCAAUGGCCAAGGAGGCCCAGUGGGAACGGAGAGCAAGAAGGAGCAGUAUCAGGCCAAGCUUCCCAAGCCCCGCACGGAGGGGAAGGAACCAGCGGGCCUGACUGGGGGGACAGAAUGAACCAGCCCAGAGAGGGGCAUCCCACAGGCUAGGACGGGAACUCCUUCCUGAAGCCUCUGGUUGUGGGAAAACCACCGCUCUUUCCCUUUGCAAGACCUGGGUGAGAGCAGGGCAGGGGACUGAUCUGACCUGGUGGAUGGCAAGUCUGGCUGCUCCAAUGCCUGAGAUCCCAGCACGUGCCCUUUUCCAUUCCUCCCUCCCCUCUGCCCUGCUCAACACGCAGCUCUGAGGUAUCCACUCCGGGCAGGACAUGGCCCUGGAGAGGAGGGAGCACGGGCCUGGGAAGCAAAAGCCCUGGGUCCUCGUCUAGGCUUUGCCCUUGACCAGCAGUGUGGCCUUGGGCGAGUUUCAACCCUCUCCGGGCUCCUGGGUCCUUGUGCACAUAAGGAGACCGCAGGCUUGCUCCCCCUUGCCGUGUGCUCAGAGGAAUUAACAUGCUGUGGGAGAAAAGCAUGAAACUGCUUUCACUGGGAACGGUGGUGCUUUCCGAUGUCUACACUACAUGUGAGGUCGGGGAGGGGCAGGGAAUCGGUGGAGCUCACGGUUGCCUUCCAACAUUGAGCACACCUCACGUGCUUGGGGGUCUGCCUCAAAGGCAGGAGAGGGGGCAGCGACUUCAGGCUUCAGCCUGUCCCUCUCACCUGCUCCAGCCUUGUGAUCGGAGUGGGACUCGGUCACGAGCUAUGAAAGGAACCACUGGGGCAAUAGAGCAAUGUCGGGAGUGCAGCUCUCACUUCCUCCGUCUGCCCUGACCCCUGGGACCAACUGUUGUAACUGCCUCCCCUGUUGCCACUUGGCCUUCUUCCCGAGGAAGAGAAGUCCAGUUUCGUCUGUGCUGGCAAAGUUUAGAGCCAAGAGCUACAUUUCUCACCAUCCUGGCAUCUAGCGUACCCAUGGGACACGGUUGUGGCCAAAAAGAUAAGGCGGCAUUGGAACGAGACGCUGGAAAACCUCCCGCAGGUGCAGCUGGCCUUUCGCCAUCUGCUUUUCCUCGUGUGACUGCCUGGGAGAUAGAAUUGGUGCCUGGAGGUUUAGGAGCCAUUUUGCAACCAUGAGGACAAGACCCACAUGCUAAGAAUGACUGAGACGAGGCCUUUGAGCUGUCCUAUAACCCUGAACUGCUUACUUCUGGAAAUACAACAUUUCCUAAUUGUGAAAGCCACUGUUUCUCCCCCCAACCCUUUGCCUCCGCCCCAGGGAGAGGUUAAGGUGGGGGUAGACAAGCACAAUUAUAACCAAUACACCCUUUCCUCCAAGAACUAACUCAGUGCCGCCUUGGAUGCCUUCUAAGACCCCCCCAGAGGAGGGGGAGUCCCCAGAGGACUCAUCGCACUGCCUUGUUAGGGCCGGUGACUCGCGUGCAGUCCCCACAAGACCAUUUCAGGGAAGGCAGGCCCUGCACGUCUGUGUUGAUCAACAGUGCAUCCCCAGAACUGACAGUUUCUGGCAAACAUCCCACAUUCUGUACUUUUCUGGGACCAAUGAUAAAAGAACCCUUUGAGGUCUGGUUCUAGAUGCAGCUAGCCCACCUUCCACCCAGGAACCAUCAUCUCUGGCCAAUUUGGAACCUCCCUGGACACAUCUUUGAAACAGCUAGCUUCUAAAAUUGGGUUUCCUGAAAUACGCAAAGCCACACGCAUGAGCUCUGUAAGUGACUGCCGGCCUCUCCCAGAACCGCUGCCUUCUCCUAAACCCCACAGCCCAUCCUGGUGGCCCUGCUCUUGCUACUACAUGACCCAGAAGGCCACUCACACAAACCCUCUGGCAGGUUCUGGUGCCGAGAAGGGGCACAUCUCACAUCACAUGGUGGGCUUGGUGGAGAAGACAUCAGUGUGUACAGGGAAGCAUUCGCAGGCCUCCUUGUCAGGCGCUUUUCCUGUCUGAAGCAUCUCGGUUAUAUUUAGGAAGUAAAAUUACUCUCUCUAUGAGUUCUGGAAGGUUCUCAGUCUCCUCCUCCUCCUCCUCUUUCCUUUAUGGUGACUUUCUCCUCCAAACCUGUUUUCACUCUGCCCCCAAAAUAUUCACACUUUUUCUAUAUCCAAGUGAUCGAAUAGCAUAGCCAACUAUAUAACUACUUCAUUUACCUUCCUUUUGAACAGCAUGGCGAGUCUAUAUGUUACUGAUGAGAAUGCAAAGUCCAUAUGUAUCCAACAAACUUGGGGUUCGUUUGUUCCAAUGUUUGUUGACAGUCACUUGGAA